rnacentral:rRNA from 1 species
UACGGAGGGUCCAAGCGUUAUCCGGAAUCAUUGGGGUUUAAAGGGUCCGUAGGCGGUUUUGUAAGUCAGUGGUGAAAGCCCAUCGCUCAACGGUGGAACGGCCAUUGAUACUGCAAGACUUGAAUUAUUGGGAAGUAACUAGAAUAUGUAGUGUAGCGGUGAAAUGCUUAGAGAUUACAUGGAAUACCAAUUGCGAAGGCAGGUUACUACCAAUAUAU